rnacentral:lncRNA from 1 species
CCAAAUUCCAAUUUCCCACCCCUAUAAUAUUUUGCCCAAUUCCAAAUUUUCCACUGCUGAGAAAUUUACACCUUCCGAAAUUCCCUCUACUGUUUCACCGCCAUCGCGAUACAAAUUCCUCUAAUGGAUCCUAUCGACUCUAAAUAUAGAUCCUAUUAGGGAUCAUUUUUGCCUAAUUUCAAAAAAUGCCUUCGACUAGAGAGAUUGCUCUGCUACAUCUCUUUCUCCAGCGAACUCAUUCGGCAAAAUCAAUGUUAUAAAUUGUAGGUUUGUUUCCUUUUCACUCAAUGUCUUGAGCAUAAACUUGUACUACUCUGGUACUUUCUAAUCACUAUUUUGUUCAUUGGUUUGCUGCUUGUGUUUAGAAUGCAAUACUGGUUAACUCGUUCAGUGCUAGUCGCUGCGAUUUCCUCUUCCUUCAUGGUUAGUUUCCAGUAAAGUGUUAGUGUAUCUCAUAUUUACAUUCUAUUUCUUAUUUUUGAGAUAUAGGUCAGCCAUAGCUAGUCAUAAGCAUGCUAAUUUUGGUUGUUGUUGUUGUGAGUUUACUGAUUCGGACAAUGUUAUUACUCUUCUGCCAAAAACUUUAAGAUUUGUUAUGUUAGUGUAUCAUUUUUUAUAUUGUGUUCAAUAAGUCUUAAAUUUGGCUUAUAGGAGUGCGUAGGUGAAGAAGAAGGCAGUAGUUGCUCAACGACCCCAAGAGGCGCAAGGUACUUGAACUGCUUUCAAUUUUGUGGAUGCUUUUAAAUUCUAGUAAGAUAAAACUCUGCCUGUAUAAGUACGUGAUUUUAAUUUUCAAAUUCCUAUAUUACUUGCAUUCAC